UCAUUCGCAGAAUCAAAAUGGUUGAAGCAGAUCGUCCUGGGAAACUGUUCAUUGGGGGCCUGAACACAGAGACUAAUGAAAAAGCCCUCGAGGCUGUAUUUGGCAAAUAUGGACGCAUUGUGGAAGUCCUUUUGAUGAAAGAUCGUGAAACCAACAAAUCCAGAGGAUUUGCGUUUGUCACGUUUGAGAGUCCAGCAGAUGCGAAAGAUGCUGCCAGAGAUAUGAAUGGAAAGUCAUUAGAUGGGAAAGCAAUUAAAGUGGAACAAGCAACCAAGCCAUCCUUUGAAAGUGGUGGUAGGCGUGGACCGCCACCCCCUCCACGAAGCAGAGGUCCUCCCAGGGGCCUUAGAGGUGCAAGAGGCGGAAGUGGCGCGAGAGGACCACCUUCAAGAGGGAGUCACUUGGGAUCUUCUCGAGGGCCACUUCCCAUGAAGAGAGGUCCACCUCCACGAAGUGGAGGCCCUCCACCUAAAAGAUCUGCACCUUCAGGACCAGUGCGUAGCAGCAGUAUGGGAGGCAGAGCUCCUGUGUCACGUGGAAGAGACAGUUACGGUGGUCCUCCACGCAGAGAACCAAUGCCAUCACGAAGAGAUGUCUACAUGUCUCCAAGAGAUGAUGGCUAUAGCACUAAAGACGGUUACUCAAGCAGAGAUUAUCCCAGUUCCAGGGAUACACGGGACUAUGCGCCACCUCCACGAGACUACGCAUAUCGUGAUUACGGUCAUUCCAGUUCACGUGACGAAUACCCCUCUAGGGGAUAUAGUCUUUCCUCCUAUAGUGAUCGUGAUGGAUACGGUGGUGGACGUGACAGAGACUACUCGGAUCAUCCAAGUGGAGGCUCCUACAGAGAUUCAUAUGAGAGUUAUGGUAACUCACGUAGUGCUCCACCUGCACGAGGGCCCCCGCCAUCUUAUGGUGGAAGCAGUCGAUAUGAUGAUUACGGCAGCACACGAGAUGGAUAUGGAAGCCGAGAAAGUUACUCAAGCAGCAGAAGUGAUGUCUACUCAAGUGGCCGUGAUCGUGUUGGAAGACAAGACAGGGGUCUUCCCCCAUCCAUGGAGAGGGGCUAUCCACCUCCUCGUGAUUCUUACAGUAGUUCAAGCCGCGGAGCCCCCAGAGGUGGCGGCCGUGGCGGAAGCAGAUCCGAUAGAGGUGGAGGCAGAAACAGAUACUAAAAACACUCUUAAACUUUUGGACCAAGACAGAUUACUUCUCAAAACAGAAAAGUGGAAGUUGUUCUAUCUUUAUUACCAGAGGACUACUAAGAGGAAAAGUUGUUUUUACCUUUUUUUAUUGUUGCCUGUUAAGUUUUCUCCUCCAUGACUUUUAUGCUUUUGUGAGGAAAAGUUAAACCAAUGUUUAAUUUCAUUUCAAAAUUGUUAACAUUUCUUUCAAAACGCAGAUGUUAAAUGUAUAAAACUUGAGCUGUGUACUAGUGUUGUAAUUUUCAAAGUAAAGUUUCCCUAAAAUGCCACACUUCCCAUCUGAUUUUCCUCAUGAAUGGAACAAGCAGUUCUUAAGAUCUUCCACACAACAUCCAACCAUCUAACAUGGAGAUGGAUUGUUCUACAUGUUGAGCAUCUCAUUCUUAAACAAAGUAUUGCUUGUGUUUUGGAGGGUGGUGGGGCUAUUCCACACAAAGUUUCAGUUGUGCCUAAAAUUUGAAGUCACUUGUUUCCAGUACAAAAUGCCAUCCGAUCCUUGUUUAAAGAAAAAUAGAGGAUAUCAUUCACUUAACCCGAAAAAGCAAGUGGAUAAUACUAUUUUCUGCCUUCCUACUGUUUCAUGGGGAGUUUGAAAAGAUCUCCCGUCAAAUAAAUCGUGUACAUGUAAGUCAGCUACAGAAUACUGUAAAAAAAAAAAAAUAAAUUGACCAAUUCCAUCAAAGAAGCUGCAAAACGAUGCUUACUCAUACUGUUUCAAAUUUUUGCAACUCUGUAGUGUUUCACUUUUAAAGGAACAUCUUUGAUUCCAAAGGAGAAAAUAAGAUAAGCAAAGAAGUCUUUCUCUCCAACUUCUCAAAGGCUUAUGGCUUCAUAAAAACAAGUGAAUCUUUCAGCAUUCCACAGCUGAUUUAAAGCAUCAAAUGCCUGUGAAACAGCAAAGAUGGAUGAUAACUUCUAGCAGAGAACCACUGAAGUAAUGCUAGUUCAUCUGUGUUGAUGACAGAGAUGAGUGGUGCCUGUACCAAUACAUAAGGUAAAUAUUGUGUUGGUAUAAUAGCUCUAAGGAAGAUUCUGGUGGUUCUGUGUUUAUAGAUUUGGAUGGAUAUUCUUCAUCGCUAAAUAAUAUUUUCAACUUUCUUGUUUGAAUUCUGAGGGAGGAGGUUUAAGUAGGCAUUUUAAGCCUACCAAGUUAGGGAUGACAGUAAGAGACUUCUCAUCUGCAGAAAUUGGUCCAGUUCGGAUAUGGCUGCCCAUAAAAAAAUAUGAUUAUAUAUGCACUUUAAAUCCUGCUGCAGAGUACUUGGUCUAAGAAUCUUUGUAAGACCGGACCAUAAAAAUCUGAAUUGGAAUAAUAAAUGUUAGUACAGACAUUUAAUCAGUCUUGUUAAAUGUGCAGAAUGUGCAAUUUAAUGUUUAUACUGAGUAUAAUCUUUAAUUAGGAAUCAAUCUCUGCAGAGGUCCUUGAAUUAAAUUGUAGACUUCUGGGCCUCUUCAGAAUUGUUUAAAACUCUAGGUCAGCUGUGUUUCAUGACAUUAAAGCCUAUGCUAUUAAAAUUAUUUUUCAAGUAGGUGUAGGAAUAACUGUCUUUGGACUUUCUGUGGAAGAGUGGCUGAUAAUUCACCAGGACAAAAAAGAAAGUGGUAGUGGCUGUCAUGCUAAUACAGCUUUUCAGAAAACUUAAUAAUUGUUAUUUUUGUU